AGCGCUGCAUUUUGGGACAUGUAGUUUUCCCCCGCAGCAUUGUGGGAGUCGCGGAUUGUUUGCUGGAGCGGCUCUGGCGGGCAGACGCCGGGAGCUGUCAGACCUUCCACCUUCCUGAGCCUGAGCUUCUCUCUCUCCCUCCUCAUGUGCUUGUCUGGAAGGGGACUGCACUGAUCAGAAGUGAAUUCACAGUUGGUUUGCCAUGAACUGGAAGGUUCUUGAACACGUGCCCCUGCUGCUGUAUAUCUUGGCAGCGAAAACAUUAAUUCUCUGUCUGGCAUUUGCUGGAGUGAAAAUGUGCCAAAGGAGAAAGUUGGAAGCAAAACAGCAAAAGCUGGAGGCUGAAAAGAAGCAGCAGUCAGAGAAGAAAGAGAACUGACGGAGAAUCCAGCCCUUGGCUGCUUCUCAGUGAGCUGUAAGCUUUUGCCAGACAGAAGUUACUGCUACGGAACUUGCUGGAAACUCAGGAGCAGGUGCUCGGACAGGGGAAGAGAAAUGUGAAAGGGCGAGGGAGGCAGUUCACACUGAGAUGCUGCUGGUUGCAUUUAUGUUCCUGACAGUCUUCAUUUUAUAUGUUAAACUGAGAAGAGGAAGAAACCAUGAGAGAUUUGCAGUGUAGAUGUCAGCUCGCAUGGACUCUGGCCGAGAAGAAUCACUGAGUGAUGUGUCGGAGGAGAAACUCCCAACGUGUACCCUUACCUUAAAACAAUGUGAAUUUUUGUAUGCUUUUAAAAGAACUAGUAUUUUAUUUACUAAAAUAAAAUAUCUUUGUAAAAAG